rnacentral:rRNA from 1 species
UUUUUGGGGAAUUUUCUCCGCAAUGGGCGAAAGCCUGACGGAGCAAUACCGCGUGAGGGAGGAAGGCUCUUGGGUUGUAAACCUCUUUUCUCAAGGAAUAAGAAAGUGAAGGUACUUGAGGAAUAAGCAUCGGCUAACUCCGUGCCAGCAGCCGCGGUAAUACGGAGGAUGCAAGCGUUAUCCGGAAUGAUUGGGCGUAAAGGGUCCGCAGGUGGCCCUGUAAGUCUGCUGUUAAAGAGUGAGGCUUAACCUCAUAAAAGCAGUGGAAACUACAGAGCUAGAGUGCGUUCGGGGUAGCAGGAAUUCCUGGUGUAGCGGUGAAAUGCGUAGAGAUCAGGAAGAACACCGGUGGCGAAAGCGUGCUACUAGGCCGUAACUGACACUGAGGGACGAAAGCUAGGGGAGCGAAUGGGAUUAGAUACCCCAGUAGUCCUAGCCGUAAACGAUGGAUACUAGGCGUGGCUUGUAUCGACCCGAGCCGUGCCGGAGCUAACGCGUUAAGUAUCCCGCCUGGGGAGUACGCACGCAAGUGUGAAACUCAAAGGAAUUGACGGGGGCCCGCACAAGCGGUGGAGUAUGUGGUUUAAUUCGAUGCAACGCGAAGAACCUUACCAAGACUUGACAUGUCGCGAAUCCUUCUGAAAGGAAGGAGUGCCUUAGGGAGCGCGAACACAGGUGGUGCAUGGCUGUCGUCAGCUCGGUCGAGAAUGCC